rnacentral:rRNA from 1 species
AGUGAACGCUGGCGGUAGGCCUAACACAUGCAAGUCGAACGGCAGCACAGUAAGAGCUUGCUCUUACGGGUGGCGAGUGGCGGACGGGUGAGGAAUACAUCGGAAUCUACUUUUUCGUGGGGGAUAACGUAGGGAAACUUACGCUAAUACCGCAUACGACCUACGGGUGAAAGCAGGGGAUCUUCGGACCUUGCGCGAUUGACUGAGCCGAUGUCGGAUUAGCUAGUUGGCGGGGUAAAGGCCCACCAAGGCGACGAUCCGUAGCUGGUCUGAGAGGAUGAUCAGCCACACUGGAACUGAGACACGGUCCAGACUCCUACGGGAGGCAGCAGUGGGGAAUAUUGGACAAUGGGCGCAAGCCUGAUCCAGCCAUACCGCGUGGGUGAAGAAGGCCUUCGGGUUGUAAAGCCCUUUUGUUGGGAAAGAAAAGCAGCAGGUUAAUACCCCGCUGUUCUGACGGUACCCAAAGAAUAAGCACCGGCUAACUUCGUG